rnacentral:rRNA from 1 species
UUCCAGCUCCAAUAGCGUAUAUUAAAGUUGUUGCGGUUAAAAAGCUCGUAGUUGAAUUUGUGUUCCGCACUGUCGGUUCACCGCCCGCGGUGCUAACUGGCAUGUUUGCGGAACGUCCUGCCGGUGGAUGUUUCAAGUAAUUGAUUUCGGUCAAUUACUACAUCCGACUUAUAAAUCCUGUCGCGGUGCUCUUAACUGAGUGUCGAGGCGGGCCGGCGCGUUUACUUUGAACAAAUUAGAGUGCUCAAAGCAGGCUAACUAAUGCCUAUAUAAUUAGUGCAUGGAAUAAUGGAACAGGACCUUGGUUCUAUUUUGUUGGUUUUCGGAACCCCAAGGUAAUGAUUAAUAGGGACAGAUGG